rnacentral:rRNA from 1 species
CUGAUGCAGCCAUGCCGCGUGUAUGAAGAAGGCCUUCGGGUUGUAAAGUACUUUCAGCAGUGAGGAAGGUGGUAGUGUUAAUAGCGCUAUCAUUUGACGUUAGCUGCAGAAGAAGCACCGGCUAACUCCGUGCCAGCAGCCGCGGUAAUACGGAGGGUGCGAGCGUUAAUCGGAAUUACUGGGCGUAAAGCGCAUGCAGGUGGUUUGUUAAGUCAGAUGUGAAAGCCCGGGGCUCAACCUCGGAAUUGCAUUUGAAACUGGCAGACUAGAGUACUGUAGAGGGGGGUAGAAUUUCAGGUGUAGCGGUGAAAUGCGUAGAGAUCUGAAGGAAUACCGGUGGCGAAGGCGGCCCCCUGGACAGAUACUGACACUCAGAUGCGAAAGCGUGGGGAGCAAACAGGAUUAGAUACCCUGGUAGUCCACGCCGUAAACGAUGUCUACUUGGAGGUUGUGGCCUUGAGCCGUGGCUUUCGGAGCUAACGCGUUAAGUAGA